UACGGAGGGGGCAAGCGUUGUUCGGAAUUACUGGGCGUAAAGGGCGCGUAGGCGGUCGUGACAGGUCGCUUUGGAAAUCUCCGGGCUUAACUCGGAACGGUCAAGUGAUACUGUCGGACUAGAGUACAGAAGGGGCAACUGGAAUUCUCGGUGUAGCGGUGAAAUGCGUAGAUAUCGAGAGGAACACCUGCGGCGAAGGCGGGUUGCUGGGCUGAUACUGACGCUGAGGCGCGAAAGCCAGGGGAGCGAACGGG
rnacentral:rRNA from 1 species